CUACGGGGUGCUGCAGUGGGGAAUAUUGCACAAUGGAGGAAACUCUGAUGCAGCAACGCCGCGUGGAGGAUGACACUUUUCGGAGCGUAAACUCCUUUUAUAUAGGAAGAAGAUGACGGUACUAUAUGAAUAAGCGCCGGCUAACUCCGUGCCAGCAGCCGCGGUAAUACGGAGGGCGCAAGCGUUACUCGGAAUCACUGGGCGUAAAGAGCGUGUAGGCGGAUUAAUAAGUCAGAAGUGAAAUCCUAUAGCUUAACUAUAGAACUGCUUCUGAAACUCUUAAUCUAGAAUGUGGGAGAGGUAGAUGGAAUUUCUGGUGUAGGGGUAAAAUCCGUAGAGAUCAGAAGGAAUACCGAUUGCGAAGGCGAUCUACUGGAACAUUAUUGACGCUGAGACGCGAAAGCGUGGGGAGCAAACAGGAUUAGAUACCCUGGUAGUC
rnacentral:rRNA from 1 species